GGGAAGACUAUAACUGUGAUAGGAGCUACUGGGAGAAGUGCAGCUAGACCGGUUCUUAAGAGUCGCACUUGUAUUCUGGGAGGCCAUGUGGUGAAGCAUUAGUUCCUAUAUAUGCCAGAGUGUCCGAUUCAACUUUUAGGACGAGAUCUAUUAUCGAAGCUUUAAGCUCAGAUAACCUUUUACCUAAUGGAUUAACAUCUCUGAAGUUUAAGGAAUUACCAGGCAUAAUGGUGAUAUCGGUGCCAAGGGAAGAAGAAUGACGCUUCUAUUCCAUAGUGACAAGUGUUAACCCUAAGAGUGAUGAAUCCUUACUUGACAUUCCAGGAGUAUGGGAAGAAAAUAAUCCUCCAGGACUUGCUCAUAAUAUCCCACCAAUACAUAUUGAGUUAAAGCUCGGGGUGUAUCCUGUUAGCCUUUGUAUGUUGUUCUUUUAUCUACC